rnacentral:rRNA from 1 species
CAAGUCGAACGGUAACAGGGAGCUUGCUCCGCUGACGAGUGGCGAACGGGUGAGUAAUAUAUCGGAACGUACCCAAGAGUGGGGGAUAACGUAGCGAAAGUUACGCUAAUACCGCAUACGAUCUAUGGAUGAAAGCAGGGGACCUUCGGGCCUUGUGCUCCUGGAGCGGCCGAUAUCUGAUUAGCUAGUUGGUGAGGUAAAGGCUCACCAAGGCGACGAUCAGUAGCUGGUCUGAGAGGACGACCAGCCACACUGGAACUGAGACACGGUCCAGACUCCUACGGGAGGCAGCAGUGGGGAAUUUUGGACAAUGGGCGCAAGCCUGAUCCAGCAAUGCCGCGUGAGUGAAGAAGGCCUUCGGGUUGUAAAGCUCUUUUGUCAGGGAAGAAACGGUAGAGGCUAAUAUCCUUUGCUAAUGACGGUACCUGAAGAAUAAGCACCGGCUAACUACGUGCCAGCAGCCGCGGUAAUACGUAGGGUGCAAGCGUUAAUCGGAAUUACUGGGCGUAAAGCGUGCGCAGGCGGUUUUGUAAGUCCGUCGUGAAAUCCCCGGGCUCAACCUGGGAAUUGCGAUGGAGACUGCAAGGCUAGAAUCUGGCAGAGGGGGGUAGAAUUCCACGUGUAGCAGUGAAAUGCGCAGAGAUGUGGAGGAACACCGAUGGCGAAGGCAGCCCCCUGGGUCAAGAUUGACGCUCAUGCACGAAAGCGUGGGGAGCAAACAGGAUUAGAUACCCUGGUAGUCCACGCCCUAAACGAUGUCUACUAGUUGUCGGGUUUUAAUUAACUUGGUAACGCAGCUAACGCGUGAAGUAGACCGCC